GACGAACUCUGGCGGCGUGCCUAAUACAUGCAAGUUGAGCGCUGAAGGUUGGUACUUGUACCAACUGGAUGAGCAGCGAACGGGUGAGUAACGCGUGGGGAAUCUGCCUUUGAGCGGGGGACAACAUUUGGAAACGAAUGCUAAUACCGCAUAAAAACUUUAAACACAAGUUUUAAGUUUGAAAGAUGCAAUUGCAUCACUCAAAGAUGAUCCCGCGUUGUAUUAGCUAGUUGGUGAGGUAAAGGCUCACCAAGGCGAUGAUACAUAGCCGACCUGAGAGGGUGAUCGGCCACAUUGGGACUGAGACACGGCCCAAACUCCUACGGGAGGCAGCAGUAGGGAAUCUUCGGCAAUGGACGAAAGUCUGACCGAGCAACGCCGCGUGAGUGAAGAAGGUUUUCGGAUCGUAAAACUCUGUUGGUAGAGAAGAACGUUGGUGAGAGUGGAAAGCUCAUCAAGUGACGGUAACUACCCAGAAAGGGACGGCUAACUACGUG
rnacentral:rRNA from 1 species